CCUUUAGAAUUUUAUUUAAGGUCUAAUCUGCCCACUGAGGAAUUAAAUGGCCGCGGUAUUUUGACCGUGCGAAGGUAGCAUAAUCAUUAGUUUUUUAAUUGAGAGCUGGAAUGAAAGAUUGGAUGAGAAAAUAACUGUCUCAAAUUAAUUUGAUUAGAAUUUUAUUUUUAAGUUAAAAAGCUUAAAUAUUUUUAAAAGACGAGAAGACCCUAUAGAGUUUAAUAUUUUUUUAUUAUUAUAUUUUAUUGUUUAAAGUAAUAUAAUUUUAUAAAAGUAUUUUGUUGGGGUGACAGAAAAAUUAAAUAAACUUUUUCUUAAUUUAAAUACUUAUAAGUAAAUUAUUGAUCCAAUUAUUUUGAUUAAAAGAUUAAAUUACCUUAGGGAUAACAGCGUAAUUUUUUUUGAGAGUUCUUAUCGAAAAAGAAGAUUGCGACCUCGAUGUUGGAUUAAAAUUAAGUUUUGGUGUAGAAGCUAAAAUUUUAGGUCUGUUCGACCUUUAAAACUUU
rnacentral:rRNA from 1 species